rnacentral:rRNA from 1 species
GAUGAACGCUGGCGGCGUGCCUAAUACAUGCAAGUCGAGCGAACAGACGAGGCUUUUGCUCUUCUGACGUUAGCGGCGGACGGGUGAGUCACACGUGGAUAACCUUCCUAUAAGACUUGGAUAACUUCGGGAAACCGGAGCUAAUACCGGAUAAUAUAUUGAACCGCAUGGUUCAAUAGUUAAAGACGGUUUUGCUGUCACUUAUAGAUAGAUCCGCGCCGCAUUAGUUAGUUGGUAGGGUAACGGCUUACCAAGGCGACGAUGCGUAGGCGACCUGAGAGAGUGAUCGGCCACACUGGAGCUGCGCCCCGGUCCAGACUCCUAAGGGAGGCAGCAGUAGGGAAUCUUCCGCAAUGGGCGGAAGCCUGACGAAGCAACGCCGCGUGAGUGAUGAAGGGCUUCGGGGCGUAAAACUCUGUUAUGGGGGAAGAACAAAUGUGUAAGUGACUAUGCACGUUGUGACGGUACCUAGACAGAAAGCCCCGGCUAACUACGUG